ACUGAUGGUAUGGAGCUGCUGUAGCAGCAGUACAGAUUAAGUAAGACUCAAAGAUUUAUUCUUGAUUCUGUCACAAAUUAUCUGUCCAGGGAGCUGCUCUAUUUUGUGGGCUCCACAAAAACUGUCCUCUGGCCAUGAAAGGGUAGUGGGCACAGGCAGUUAAAAGCUCAGUCCUUCAUGUGCAGUGAUAUCGACAACCCUCCAGGAAUGCUUAGAGCCAAGGCUUAGAACUAAUGACUAAGCAAAAUAAAGCCCCACUACAGAAGCUUCCUUUAUAGAAGGGCAGUGAAGGGCACCUAACAAUUGGAUUUUAUGAAUUAAUACCCAUAAAGUUUCUGGAAGAGUGGGAGAGUUAUCUAAAUACUAAGUAGUGUUAAUAACAACUCAAGAAUGAAAGGUUAGAGAGCAUAAAGAGUUUUUCUUUGUACCUUGGUUCAAUCUUCUCUGCAGAAGAACUUCUCAUCAUGCUAUUCUGGACUUGCUGGAACUGCAAUCACAAAAGAAAGGGAGUCUUUGCUGAUGACUUGGAGUUAGCAGACACUUCGUGUGCUAUCACCUCAGGAAGCGCUUACUCACUGGGGGUGAAAGGAAUGCUUUGCAGGAAGCACAGCCAGAGAAGGGAACCAUAUUGACUAUGAAUCUCCUGGAGCAGAAGCCAUUUAUCCAUCCCUAAAGAGAACUCCUGCCAUGCCUUGUGUGCCAGCUGCCCUUCAGCCCAGCAAGAUACAAGUUCCCAUGGUGCUUCUUAAAGAGCCAGGCCGGGAGGCACCAACAGCUGCUCAUCCCUAAGGGAUCUGAUUUGUUUGUCUGGAGAGCUGCAAGUCUGAAGAAACCUCCAGGGAAUACUCAUUUGUUUUGAGGAUGCAGAGAACAGGAAGAGUCUGAUUCCUGGAGGAAGCCAACAAAUCCUUCACAAAUCCACUUCGUGCCUGUACAAGAUGUACACAGGAAAAUUUGCUUAUUGUGAUGCCCUCUCCUGGUUAAAAUAAAUCCUACUAGUUGUGUCCCUGUCCCUCCAGUGUCAAACACCUGUAGCUCAAAGCAGAAUGAAGCAUUUUGUGAGCUAAAAUUAAAAGCAUUUAAAAUGAUGGACAGUC